rnacentral:piRNA from 1 species
GUUUUCUCGAUUGUUAAGUACCAUUGUAGG